rnacentral:rRNA from 1 species
AUGCAGAUGGUAGUGAAGAGAAUUGGAACGACCCUUCGGGAGUCUGCGACAGGUGUUGCAUGGCUGUCGUCAGCUCGUGCCGUGAGGUGUUCGGUUAAGUCCGCUAACGAGCGCAACCCUUGCUGUAUGUUACAAGUGUCAUACGGGACUGCCGGUGAGAAGCCGGAGGAAGGUGAGGAUGACGUCAAGUCAGCAUGACCUUUAUGUCCUGGGCUACACACACGCUACAAUGGGCAGCACAACAGGUAGCGAAGCCGCGAGGCGGAGCCAAUCCUCCAAAGCUGUCCUCAGUUCAGAUUGCAGGCUGCAACUCGCCUGCAUGAAGAUGGAGUUGCUAGUAAACGCGCGUCAGCUAUAGUGCGUUGAAUACGUUCCCGGGUCUU